rnacentral:rRNA from 1 species
AUUGAACGCUGGCGGCAGGCCUAACACAUGCAAGUCGAACGAGUGGCGGACGGGUGAGUAAUGUCUGGGAAACUGCCUGAUGGCGGGGGAUAACUACUGGAAACGGUAGCUAAUACCGCAUACCAUCGGAUGUGCCAAGAGGGGAUUAGCUAGUAGGUGGGGUAAAGGCUAACCUAGGCAACGAUCCAUAGCUGGGCUGCGAGGAUGACCAGCCACACUGGAACUGAGACACGUUCCAGACUCCUACGGGAGGCAGCAGUGGGGAAUAUUGCACAAUGGGCGCAAGCCUGAUGCAGCCACGCCGCGUGUAUGAAGAAGGCCUUCGGGUUGUAAAGUACUUUCAGCGGGGAAGCGUUACCCGCAGAAGAAGCACCGGCUAACUCCGUGCCAGCAGCCGCGGUAAUAC